UAUGGAGAACUCUGUCUACGUUGUGGCUGCUUACAGCUCAAAUGUGGAGAUCACCAGCUGAUUAAAAUGUCUGCAUCCUCCAUAGGACCAGUGUACAGGAACUGUUUGUUGAAUGAAUGGAUCAGUCAGUCAACAAAUUCCUGACUGCCUCAAGGGGAGAUACAGUCAUUUACUUCUUUACCAAGCAUUUUAAUAGCACUUACUAUGUGCCAUAUACUGUCUUAAGUACUUACAAAUAUUAACUCAUUUAAUCCUCAUAACAACCCUAUGAGGCCCAGUCCACUCACUGAGGCAGCAGGAGCGAAAUUCCCGACAAACUCUAGGUUCUACACAGAACUCCUCUCCCCAGUACUCACUUCCAAACAGUCUCCAAAACCAUCAGCUGGAGUUGGGA